CUGCUCCCUUCUUCACAAGACUGCGAGGCUAGAUGACACCACUAGGCAGUGACAGACUGAGACUUCAGCUCUUCUGACUCAAAGUCCACAUGUGGAAAGAGGUUCUGAAAGUACUUCUCUCUCCAGAGGCAGAAGAUCCUCGAGCCCCCAAAGGACUGGGAGUGUCUCUAAAACGUACACUUUGAUACUGGUUUUGAAAAACAAAUUCAUAGGGAAAUCGAUUUUGAAGGGAUCUGGAAAAAAGUAGCAAGCUUUACACCAAGCAUGGGGCUUGAACUCACAGCCUGGUGAUCAAGAGUCCCACACACUCUACUGACUGAGCCAGCCAGGAGACCUAGGGUCUUUAUUUUUUAAGCAAUCUCUACACCCAACGUGGGGCAUGAAUUCAUGACCCUGAGAUCAAGAGUCAUAUGCCUUACUGACUGAGCCAGCGAGGCCACCGGAAAAAGAAUAAUUUCUGAGUGAGUUUUGAAUGAGACCCAGAAUUUCAGCUUUUGACAUCACACAUCACCAAUCUCAAGAAGUUCUGUCCUCUGUGCUAAUAUGUUGAUGAAACACAAUAUGUGUUCCUCUAAUCUGUCAGAAAAUUUUUGGUAAAUAUAGAAAUAAUACAGGAGAUGCAAAAUUUUAUUCAUAGACAUUAGGAAAAAGUGAGAGGCUCAAAAAGAGGAAUGAAAAUAAUUGCAUAUAAAAAAAAAAAUCUUGAGCCAGAAGAAAAGCUUAGAACUAGCUCAAAGGAAAGUGGCCAGACUUCAGUUCAGGAAAGGGAGGAGACCUUCUGGGUAUAUGGCUUCCCAGUAUAGGGAGAUUAGCCCAUAAACUGUAUUAAAACGUCCAUUCUAGGGGCGCCUGCGUGGCUCAGUGGUUGAGCUCAUCAUUUGGCUCACGGUGUGAUCCUGGUGUCCUGGGAUCAAGCCCCACAUCAGGCUCCCUGCAAGGAGUCUGCUUCUCCCUCACCUUCUGCCCUUCCUCCCUGCUCCCAGGACCCUGGGAUCAUGACCUGAGCCAAAGGCAGAUGCUUCACUGACUAAGCCACCCAGGCACCCCUAGAGUGAACCUUUUAAUUGAGCCAGGAAAAGGUUCUUCAGUCAUUGAUCACUAAACCCAUCAGUUACUUCCCGUCUGUGUGGUAGGAUGAAAACAGAUAUGUUUCUCAGUAAAAUGAAAUGUGGUAACCAGGUGAGCAGCCCAGAAAGUGAGCCAGAGUAUUGAAAAUGGAAAACACAUAAGUCAAGCUCUCAAAGUAGUCGAGGCCAAGGGUGCUUUUUGAGGGCUAAGAAAAUGUGGUGGGGGUUAUGAGACUGUAUAUAAUUAACCAAACUCAUAAACUGUAUACUUAAAAUAGGUGAAUUCUAUUGUACAUGAGUUAUAUUACAAUAAAGCUAAAUAAUAAAGAAGCUGACUGAGGUAAUACAAGCAGGUCCCUAGGAGAGACCACCUGGAUGCUGGGGAGAAUAUACAGAGAAUCCCCUCACUCAUGGAGGGUUAGAAACUGCCUUGCCUGCCACUGAGUGUCUGCAUGUCAGCAAAUAAACCAGGAGGCAGAGCUUGGCUAGGGAGACCCUCAAGUGGCCCAGGGCCUGAGAAAAGUCAGCAAAGAUGGUAUCAGAGCACCUGAAACCAAGAAAAGUCAUCCUUAAGCUGUAUAAUUUCAUUUCAUUUCAUUUCACUUCAUUUUUAAAGCCAUAUAACUUUAAUCCUAUCUUAACAUUUGUAUCUUUUAUGAAACAUUUCACAUAUGCUAUUUCACUUCAGUCAGCACAAAAACCUGCUGAGUGAACAAUGCAAAUACUACCUGUCUAUUACACAAAGAAACUGUGAGCAGUAGGGCUGGUGUCGGGACAUGUGCCAGGUACCAAUUGAUUGCCUCUCGGCUUCAAAUUCAUCGUCCAGUCCCUGAGGGAAGAUUUCCAAGUUCCAGCAGCACAGCAACUUCUGCUAAUGUCAGUUUUCCCCCAGUGAGGCCUGGAUCCCAGAGAAGAGGACAUUCCUUAGGCGCUCUUCCUUGGCACCCAGGGAAGCACAGAGAACUCGAACGAGUGCAGUCGAAGGAGCCACUCCUGUUCCACUAGCUGAAACACAGCGUUCAGGGCAGACCCAUCUGUGUUGAGAUCUGGACUUUGUUGGAGAGGGCAUGCUAGGAGCAGGGAAGUGCCUUGGUGCUGCAUCCAGGGAACUUGCUGGAAAUCCCUCUGGAGCUUAUCUGAAAUCCACCCUCGAGGGUGCCAGAGGACUCUCUUCUCUGGAAGGUGUGUCCUAGAGACCAGACCCAUUCUAUUGCAAUAUUGCCCCUGGGGUGGGGGAGGGUACGUGGGGGUCCCUGGGAACCUUUAGCUGCUGGGUUCUGACGAUCUCUGUCUGCACACCUCCCUCACCAGCACUUACUGGGUAUUAACAGGAAAACUAGGAAUGUAGUUUACUCAGCAAAAUCUCCUUCUACGUAUUAUCUGCCAGGACAGCUGUUGUGCUAACUGGUUGCCACUCCAGUGACCUUGGGGUGCGUUGAUACCUGUGCACCUGUGUGCUUGCAGAGAAAGACACCUGAUCUCCUUUAGAAGAUCACCAAGUUUUUCCCUCUAAGGAGUAGGAUGAAUAGUUCGUUUUAAAUCAGAUUGUCCUUUCAGUCCCCUGCAGAGUGGAGUUUAUUAUUAUGCCCAAGAGACUAGAUCCAAAUUGACCAGAGGCUGUCAGGAAAUUAGAAGCCCUUCAUCUUAGACUCCAGUUAUCUUAGUUAGGCACUGUGCUGCCAGUAGGAACGUUGCGUGGGACUCUCUAGGCUUGGGGGACCCCUAGAACGCUCAUCAUCCUAGGUUAGGCUGCCAUAUGAGAAAAUGGUGGAGAGUAUGAACUCUUCAUACUCUCUCUGCUCCUAAAUUUUCUAAUAUGAGAAUGUCAAGAGUUCAGAAUUUAUUUUCUAGAUCACCGGGUUAUACUUAGAAACAAAGAUUCACCAGCUUUUUUCCUGAAAAUCUCUUUAAAGGUAAAUGUACCACCUAAAAGGUAUUCUUGCUCCAAAAUUGAAUCCGAAUUGAAAACCUAUUGCCAGUUUAAGGAAGUACUAGAAAUAGAGAAAUAUGUUAAACACCAUGGGAAUGCCAUCAGCAAAAUCCAAAGUAUAGGAAAUUCUACAAGACAAAUAAUCGAUUUUUUUUCCCAACCACUAAAUGGCAAGUUAAAAAGCUAUCAGGAAGGAUUUGUAGAAUAUAAGAAAAGAUAUUAACAAAUGCAAAACUUGUGGAUCUUGUUUGAAUUAACCAACUAUAAAAAAGUAAUAAGGGAAAUGUGAACACUGUAUUUUAUGAUGUUAAGACAUAGGUAUAAUAAUGGUAUUGUGGUUGAGAUACUAACUCCUACCAGUGAGAAUGGUGAAAAUUAACAAGGCAGGAAACAACAAAUGUUGGAGAGGAUGAAGAGAAAGAGGAACCCUCUUGCACUGUUGGUGGGAAUGUGAACUGGUGCAGCCACUCUGGAAAACUGUGUGGAGGUUCCUCAUAGAGUUAAAAAUAGAUCUGCUCCACGACCCAGCAAUUGCACUGCUGGGGAUUUGCCCCAAAGCUGCAGAUGGAGUGAAACACUGGGACACCUGCACUUCAAUCUUCAUGGCAGCCAUGUCCACAAUAGCCAAACUAUGGAAGAAGCCACGAUGUCCUUUGACAGAUGAAUGGAUAAAGAAGAUGUGGUCUGUAUAUACCAUGGAAUAUUACUCAGCCAUGAGAAAGGACAAAUACCCACCAUUUGCUUCGACGUGGAUGGAACUGGAGGUUAUCAUGCUGAGUGAAGUCAGUUGAGGAAGGACAAUCAUCAUAUGGUUUCACUCAUACAGGGAAUAUAAGAAAUAGUGAAAGGGAUUAUAAAGGAAAGGAGGGAACUGGGUGGAAAAAUUAGGGAGAUAAACCACGAGAGACUCCUAACUCUAGGAAACAA